UCAUCACCACCAUCACCCUGACUAGUCUUUCAGGCGAUGUGUGCUGGGAGACGUUCAGGAUCUUCCAGUGGUGCGAGCGCAAAGAGAGCCCCCGGAAGAUCAUCUUCCGGGGGUUUUUUUAU
rfam:Pantoea sp. PSNIH1, complete genome.